ACAAUGCAUGAAAAUGGAGAAUCAACAGUAGGGUUUGAUGCUGUUACAGGUGAAAUUAGAGAUGUAUUUCAUCAAGCACCAAAAAUCAUUCAACCAAUAAAUUUAUUAAAGUCUAUUAUUAAACUUUCUACAGAAACAGCACAAUUAUUAUUAAGAAUUGACGAUGUAGUCUUAUGUAGAAAUUAGUUAUAUUAAAUAAUUUUUUUAUGAUUGAAUUAUAUUUAAUUUUUAAGCCAAUUUAUCAAUAAUGACCGUUCAUCAACUACAACAAAUAUUAGUUUUUAAAAAUAAAUUAGACGAAUUGUUAAUAAAUAAUAUAUACUCUCGAGUUCCGCCCACUGGUCUCAUAUUUAAAAUAGGUGAAAAUGAAAAACAAAAAAAUUAUUUCAUUAAAUAUUAUAAUUUAGUCUUGGAAGUAAUUAAGUUGAUCGAUACACUGGAGAAAAAGUUAUUAGUAAAUGAAUUUUACGCUGAAAUUAAAGAUUACAAUAGUGUUGGUUUAAAUUCGGGUAUACUCGAAAAUGAAAAUCAAUUCUAUACUAAUAAUACCAUUCCAAUACAAAAAACAUAUAUAUACAAAUUUGAUUACUGGAAUCCUUUGAUAGAAUUAACGCCUACAACUUUUCGUUUUUUUAGAAAUAAUAAAAAUAGCUUACAAGAAAUUAUUUCACGUAAUCCGUUAGAAAUGUUAGCUCAUGAAAGCUUUCAAUUUAAGUUCAGUUCAUAUUUUAAAAAAUUAACGCUUGAUAAAAAUAUUAAAAAAAUUUCAAAAGGUAAGUUACCGGUAUAUUAAACAUAAUGUAGCGAAAAAACAAAUAAAUAAAAUCACACAUAUUGAAAACAAAGAUAUUUCAAAAUUAUUUGGUUUUAUGAUAAAAAAAUAAUAAUUAUAUAAAAUUACAAUACAAUUCCUAAUAAAAUUUAUAGUGAAAAACUUUAAUUAUCUUAAUAUAAUCUGUUAUAAAAUAUUAACUGGGCUAAAAUAUAUUUCAGCUAUUAAAUGCUAUGUAUUCUUUUUGCUUUUACAUUGUAAAAAAUAAUCAAUUUUUAUUUAAAAUGAUUAUCUACACAUCAAGUGAUAAUUUUUAUCAAAUUGAGUAUUAAUGAUGAACCAAUAUAUUGUAUAGAUUAUUUUGUAAGCAAGUAUUCGAUGUUAAAGUUUUUUGUGUCAAACAGUAAAAUACAAAAAUAAAACCUGUCAUAAAAAAUUACAUAUCAAAUAAUAUUUAUUCUAUUUUUCAUUAUCUGAAUCAAUGAUUUUAGCUCACAUCUACAUGAUUGAUUAGUUUAUCGAAGCCUUGUAAUAUAUAAACGUUAAAUAUUAAUAAAUUGAUAGUUUAAAUUGACUAUAAGUAGCAACUAGUCGUAUGAGAAUUGCGAUGACCGAAGUGGAUGAGGGUUCCGAGCGAACAGUGUUUGGACUCGGGUUAGUCGGUCCUAAGGGGAUGCUUAAUAAGCUGAAACAGUUGUGAACAACGAUCCUCGAAAGGGAAUAAGGCAAAAAUUCCUUAACUGCUAACAACAUUUGUGGUGACACAGAGUAGAUCGGCUUUGUUAUUGAUUAUUUUGGGAAGCGUUUUCAUUGCUUUUUAAAUCAUUAAGUCUUUGGAAUCGAAUCAAUCGUAGAAAAAGAGUAUGAUGAUGAAUAAUGGCUUAUUUUGAGUCAUCCGAACAAUAAUCAAUAACCUAUGAAAAGGUAGAUUAAAUGUGUGUUGUUGGUAUCCGUACCCUAAACCGCAUCAGGUGUCCUAGGUUUAUAACCUCUGGUUUAAUAGAACAAGGUAGUUGAGGGAAGUCGGCAAAUUAGAUCCGUACCUUCGGAAUAAGGAUUGGCUCUGAGGACUUUAUUUAACACAAGAUAGCAAUAAAUUUGAAUUGGCUUCGGUCAGUUUGAAGUGAGCUAUUUUGAAUUAGGCAACUAAUGCGUUAAAUGUUUAUUAAGUCAUCUCAGAACUGGUGUGGACAAGGGGAAUCUGACUGUUUAAUUAAAACAAAGCAUUGCGAUACGGUACAAACCUUUUUACGCAAUGUGAUUUCUGCCCAGUGCUCUGAAUGUCAUCGCGGUGAAAUUCGCUUAAGCGCGGGUAAACGGCGGGAGUAACUAUGACUCUCUUAAGGUAGCCAAAUGCCUCGUCGUCUAAUUAAUGACGCGCAUGAAUGGAUCAACGAGAUUCCUACUGUCCCCAACUACCAUCUAGCGAAACCACAGCCAAGGGAACGGGCUUGGCAAAAUAAGCGGGGAAAGAAGACCCUGUUGAGCUUGACUCUAGUCUGAUUUUGUCGAGUGACUUAUGGGGUAGAGAAUACGUGGGAGUUACGCAAGUAACAAUCGUGAAAUACCACGACCUAUAAUGUUGCUCAACUUACUCUAUAAAGUAAAAGUAUCUUUUGAUAUUGUGGAAUCAAACGCAUUUAUUGCGUGAUUUACGUAGAGAACAUAUUCAGAUGGGGAGUUUGGCUGGGGCGGCACAUCUGCUAAACAACAACGCAGAUGCCCUAAGGUUGACUCAAAGAGACCAGAAAUCUCUUGUAGAUUGAAAGGGGAAAAGUCAGCUUGAUUCUGAUUUUCAGUGCGAAUACGAACUGCGAAAGCAUGGCCUAUCGAUCCUUUAAGUCCAGAAAAGUUCUGGCUAGAGGUGACAGAAAAGUUACCACAGGGAUAACUGGCUUGUGGCAGCCAAGCGUUCAUAGCGACGUUGCUUUUUGAUCCUUCGAUGUCGGCUCUUCCUAUCAUUGAGACGCAGAAGUCUUAAAAUGUCGGAUUGUUCACCCGCUAAUAGGGAACGUGAGCUGGGUUUAGACCGUCGUGAGACAGGUUAGUUUUACCCUACUUAUUAAUAGUACAUUGACAGUAAGGCAACUUAGUACGAGAGGAACUGUUGCCUCAAGCCUCUGGUAACGCGACUGGUUGGCAAACCAGUGUUGCAAAGCUACGCUUGUAGGAUAAUGACUGAACGCCUCUAAGUCAGAAACCUAGCUGAAAAUAUGUUCUUAUAUAGUAGAUUAAAAUGACUUUACAAAUCAUAUUCAACUCAAUAGGAUGAAUUCUGUGAAAAGAUGAAAUCCAUAAAAAAGUCUACUAUAAACAUUUCUAUACAGACGAUU
rnacentral:rRNA from 1 species